UAAAUGUGCUCAUAAAAAAUGUGUAUUUGCCAGAAUAAAAUAUGGUAGAAGGAGCUAUUUUGCCUUAAUUAAAUUUCUCUCUUUUUGUUUUGUUUUAGUAUCACCUUUUGCCAUGAUAGCAUUUCUUUCAUUGGACAGUUCCUUACAAGGGCUCCACUCAGUGUCUGUCUGUAUUGGAUUCACAAGAGCCUUUAGAAUGGUAUGGCAGAAUACAGAAAAUGCUUUAUUGGAGACAGUCAUUGUAUCAACAGUACACUUGAUCUCCAGUACAGACAUAUGGUGGAACAGAAGCCUGGAUACAGGACUCAGACUCUUACUGGUUGGUAUCAUACGUGAUCGUUUGAUUCAGUUCAUCUCUAAAUUGCAGUUUGCCGUGACUGUGCUUUUGACAUCAUGGACAGAGAAAAAACAACGUCGAAAAACAACUGCCACUUUAUGUAUACUCAACAUUGUCUUUUCUCCAUUCGUGUUGGUCAUCAUAGUUUUUUCUACACUACUCUCUUCUCCCUUACUCCCUCUUUUCACCCUUCCUGUGUUCUU
rnacentral:lncRNA from 10 species